GUGAAUCAUCGAAUCUUUGAACACACCUUGCGCUCCUUGGUAUUCCGAGGAGCAUGCCUGUUUGAGUGUCUUGAAGUCAUCAACUGCCCCCGUUUGAUUGCGGGGGACGGGUUGGAUCUGGGGGCGUGCCGCUGCGAAGCGGCUCCCUUCAAAUGCAUCGGUUGGACCUGUGGGUCGAACUCGACUGGGCGUUGUAACAUCCUCGCUCUUCCGAGAGGUUCCCCUUUGGUGUCCUCCCACGACCUGCCUGCGGAGUGGCGGUCAACUUGCUCUGAAAUCUGACCUCAAAUCAGGUAGGACUACCCGCUGAACUUAAGCAUAUCAAUAAGCGGAGGA
rnacentral:misc_RNA from 1 species